AAAUUGAGCUUGAUCCUUUCCUUUUUCAUGUCGCCAGGGUACUCCGGUGGUUUGUCAUGUUUGUUCAGUAGAGGAGUCAAGUCCCGUGCUGAGACAACUCCAACUGAAGUGGUAGUAGCGGAGGCUUCACCAUGCUCCUGAUCUCUUUCUUUUCUGGGUUUGUUUUUUGCCACUGCUCGUGAGUUCCCCAUCUGACUCCAAGGCCCUCUUUUUUUGCUGGUGACUCUUUUUGUAAGCUAACAUAGUCUAAGAGUUGACUAGGUAGCUUAAAUCUCGUAGUUAUGUAAGACAAAUAAUGGCGUAGGUUUGACUUGUAAAUAUCAUA